rnacentral:rRNA from 1 species
UACGGAGGGAGCUAGCGUUGUUCGGAAUCACUGGGCGUAAAGCGCACGUAGGCGGAUGUGUCAGUCAGGGGUGAAAUCCCGGAGCUCAACUUCGGAACUGCCUUUGAUACAGCACAUCUGGAGUCCGGAAGAGGUGGGUGGAAUUCCUAGUGUAGAGGUGAAAUUCGUAGAUAUUAGGAAGAACACCGGUGGCGAAGGCGCCCACUGGUCCGGUACUGACGCUGAGGUGCGAAAGCGUGGGGAGCGAACAGG